rnacentral:rRNA from 1 species
GAUGAACGCUGGCGGCGUGCCUAAUACAUGCAAGUCGAGCGAAUGGAUUAAGAGCUUGCUCUUAUGAAGUUAGCGGCGGACGGGUGAGUAACACGUGGGUAACCUGCCCAUAAGACUGGGAUAACUCCGGGAAACCGGGGCUAAUACCGGAUAAUAUUUUGAACUGCAUGGUUCAAAAUUGAAAGGCGGCUUCCGCUCUCACUUAUGGAUGGACCCGCGUCGCAUUAGCUAGUUGAUGAGGUAACGGCUCACCAAGGCAACGAUGCGUAGCCGACCUGAGAGGGUGAUCGGCCAAACUGGGACUGAGACACGGCCCAGACUCCUACGGGAGGCAGCAGUAGGGAAUCUUCCGCAAUGGACGAAAGUCUGACGGAGCAACGCCGCGUGAGUGAUGAAGGCUUCCGGGUCGUAAAACUCUGUUGUUAGGGAAGAACAAGUGCUAGUUGAAUAAGCUGGCACCUUGACGGUACCUAACCAGAAAGCCACGGCUAACUACGUGCCAGCCGCCGCCGUAA